AUUGAACGCUGGCGGCAGGCCUAACACAUGCAAGUCGAACGGUAACAGGAAACAGCUUGCUGUUUCGCUGACGAGUGGCGGACGGGUGAGUAAUGUCUGGGAAACUGCCUGAUGGAGGGGGAUAACUACUGGAAACGGUAGCUAAUACCGCAUACCAUCGCAAGACCAAAGAGGGGGACCUUCGGGCCGCUUGCCAUCGGAUGUGCCCAGAUGGGAUUAGCUAGUAGGUGGGGUAACGGCUAACCCAGGCGACGAUCCCUAGCUGGUCUGAGAGGAUGACCAGCCACACUGGAACUGAGACACGGUCCAGACUCCUACGGGAGGCAGCAGUGGGGAAUAUUGCACAAUGGGCGCAAGCCUGAUGCAGCCAUGCCGCGUGUAUGAAGAAGGCCUUCGGGUUGUAAAGUACUUUCGGCGGGGAGGAAGGGAGUAAAGUUAAUACCGUUGCUCAUUGACGUUACCCGCAGAAGAAGCACCGGCUAACUCCGUG
rnacentral:rRNA from 1 species